rnacentral:tRNA from 1 species
GUUUAAAUAGUUUAAUAAAAAUGUUAGUUUGUGGUACUAGAGAUAUAAAGUCAAUUAUUUUAAACU